rnacentral:rRNA from 1 species
GACGAACGCUGGCGGCGUGCUUAACACAUGCAAGUCGAGCGGAAAGGCCUUUCGGGGUACUCGAGCGGCGAACGGGUGAGUAACACGUGAGUAACCUGCCCCAGACUUUGGGAUAACCCUCGGAAACGGGGGCUAAUACCGGAUACGACACUUCAUCGCAUGGUGUGAGUGUGGAAAGUUUUUCGGUUUGGAUGGCUCGCGGCCUAUCAGCUUGUUGGUGGGGUGAUGGCCUACCAAGGCGACGACGGGAGCCGGCCUGAGAGGGCGACCGGCCACACUGGGACUGAGACACGGCCCAGACUCCUACGGGAGGCAGCAGUGGGGAAUAUUGCACAAUGGGCGGAAGCCUGAUGCAGCGACGCCGCGUGAGGGAUGAC